CUGAGAGGAUGACCAGCCACACUGGAACUGAGACACGGUCCAGACUCCUACGGGAGGCAGCAGUGGGGAAUAUUGCACAAUGGGCGCAAGCCUGAUGCAGCCAUGCCGCGUGUAUGAAGAAGGCCUUCGGGUUGUAAAGUACUUUCAGCGGGGAGGAAGGGAGUAAAGUUAAUACCUUUGCUCAUUGACGUUACCCGCAGAAGAAGCACCGGCUAACUCCGUGCCAGCAGCCGCGGUAAUACGGAGGGUGCAAGCGUUAAUCGGAAUUACUGGGCGUAAAGCGCACGCAGGCGGUUU
rnacentral:rRNA from 1 species